AAAAUUACUACUACAAUUAGGGUACACGUUAACGUGGUGAUGACGAAAUGGGUGAUGGAAUGGUUGAGUAAGAGUGCAAUGAGGGAGAGUGGGGUUGUGUAGGAAAAUGGGAAGAAUUUUUCUAUUUCUUUUCCUUUUUUCCUUUUGGAAUUGCUUGGAUGUUAGCCAUAUGAUGUCUUUGGGUCAUCCAUCAUCCACUCUCCCCAUCUCUCACUGUUUUUCUUCUGUAUCUACUCACAGCAGAACACCCUAUUUUAGUUCCAACAUCGCUUUCAUAACGAGAUGGUGGACCCUGGAAUAUCUCUCCCCUUAUCUCUCUACAAAUCCUGCAUUUUAUAUAAACAUAUAUAUUACUUGGUAAAUUGCAUAAUCUCCGAUUUUGUGUGUGUGUGUAUAUGUAUGUAUGUAUGUAUGUAUAUAUAUAUAGAUAUCACCAGCUUUUGAAAGCUGCUCCAGGACUUUAUAUAAAGGUGGGUGUGGGGCUUUUGGGUCUUUACAGGUACAGAAUUGGUGAGACUAAUUACUUACUAUUAGUGUAAUUAGUUUGUGUUUAGUGGGACUAAGUUAUGGGUAGGCAGCCUUGCUGUGACAAACUGGGUGUGAAAAAAGGGCCAUGGACUGCCGAGGAAGACAAGAAACUCAUUAACUUUAUCCUCACCAAUGGCCAGUGUUGCUGGAGUGCUGUUCCUAAGCUUGCCGGCCUCCGCCGCUGCGGUAAGAGCUGCCGCCUUCGGUGGACUAAUUACCUUCGGCCUGACUUGAAGAGAGGCCUUCUUUCUGAGACCGAAGAAC
rnacentral:lncRNA from 1 species